ACUUUUGUUUAGUUUUACAAAACAGUAAACACAUCCUGGUCAGUAUGCAAAUGAGUUUACUGAUGACAUCAUCCACUCACUAUUUCUUUUGUAUUUCAUUACAUGAAAUAUGAAAUAUUUUAAUUUUCUCCUUAUUGUCACAUGAAACUUAAAUUUUUUCCUUCCCUGAACAUGUGAAUUACCAUUCUUUUAACAUUUUGUGGUUCAGUCAAGUUGAUCAUUACUUUCAAAUCUGUAAAAAUUGGAAUAUUGUAGAAUACAACAAUAAAAAACAAAAGAAAUAGUGAGUGAGGGACAUCGACUCUCUUUAUAUUUGCAUAUCACUGUUUUGUGAAAAAAUAAGCAAAACUUUAAAAUGUCAUAACUUUCUUAUUUUACAUCAAAUUUUAAUGAACUUUUCAACGUUAUGCUUGUUUGAUUUUUCUCUGUUCAUUCAAAUCAACAUUUUUCUGGGGUAGACUUGACCUUCCAAAUAUGUGCGAUCAAUUGGGUAGUCAGAUGCACUUGCGGUGCCAUCACUGAUAUAAACAGAACAGAUAUCAGAUAUAUAUAGUUGUACAAUGCCUACUUAGCUUGUAAAGUUGUUGUAUGCGAGCAAAUGGGAGGCUGAAUGUCAAACAUUUGUACCGUUGCACACAUGACGUACCAUCCAAAAUGUACCGUUGCACGGCUUUAGGAGGUGACGUCACAAUACGAUUUAAUUCAUUGCAAUCAGUAAAAAUGAAGGUGCAAUGCGCGUAUAGCCUGCUGGCUAAAUGCGCAAUGCUGCCCAAGGGCAUGUGCGCUUGUGGGAUUUUGAUUAAAUACCUUGCAUUAGGGCAUGAGUUCUUUGCCAGUUGUUGAACCCCAUAUAUUGUGCCAAGGCAGGCACCUAAGACCAUUUAGCCAUGAAAUCAAUAUUGAGUAGGAGAGUAUUUAAAUAUUUCAGUCGAGAAGUCUUAAAACGAUGAACAGGAUCCUUCAGUAAGUGUUAGAGUUCAGGGUUAAGGCAUGUACAGUGUAACCCGGCUAAGAAAAUAGUAUGGGGUUAAGAAAGACAGUCUAAAACCCCCAAAAAGAUAUGCUUUUGUUCUGGUUACAGGUAUUCUUCUAAAACUUCAAAUAAUAAGUUGAAGUGUGCAGUAUCAGACUAUAGGCGCCACUUUUCCGACGGCGGCGGCGACAGCAGCGUCAACAUCUAAUCUUAACCGAAUAUUAUUUUUUUAAAAUGACAGCAUACCUUAGAAAGUAUAUGGACCUAGUUCAUGAAACUUGGAUAUAAGGUUGAUCAAGUAUUACUGAACAUCCUGCCCAAGUUAAGGUCACAUGACUAAGGUCGAGGUCAUUUAGGGUCAAUGAACUUAGACCAUGUUGAGGGAGUCAAUAUUGAAAUCUUAACCUAAGGUAACGUUUUUUAAAUGUCAUCAUAACUUCAUCAUCAUCAUCAUCUGGUACAGGAAGAAGGCGGUGGCCUGUAAUUCCCGGUCACUCCAUCUAUGGUUUUAGUCUGGUGAAUCUAUUACUGUACACAUGCAGAGCAGUGGUAGUCAUUGUAGAUCAAAGCGAUGAUCCCACCAAUAUUUAUCUACAUGCCUUUUAAAUGAUUCUGUUGUUGGCAAGACGACUAUAUUUUCAGGGAGGCUAUUCCAAUCAUCUAUCACUCUUCUGCUAAAAGACUUGCUGCGAACUCUACAGUACUCUUUCUGAAGCUUCAGGCAGUGUCCCCUUGUUGAUCUACCUACUAAUUUUGUGAAGAAGUGAUCUUGGGGAGAUUGAUAAGUCUAUGCAUUAACUGGUGCUCGAAGAUCAUGUCUCCUCUUCUCCUGUACAGCAGGGAGUACAAGUUCAAUUCUUUAAGUCUGUCUUUAUAUGAGACGUUCUUCAGCUCUCUAACCAGCUUGGUUGCCCUUCUUUGGACCCUUUCGAUCCUCCUUGCAUCUUCUUUGUAUCUGCUAUGCCAGAGGACACUCCCAUAUUCAAGGUGGGGCCUUAUUAGGGUUUUGAAGAACAGAGGCAGAGUUGUCCUUGUGAGUUGAGUGAAGGUUCUUUUCAUUAUGGCGAGGAGUUGGUAUCCCUUGCUAACUGCUGAUGACACAUGCUGGUGACAUUUAAAAAGUAUAUGGACCUAGUUCAUGAAACUUGGCCAUAAGGUUAAUCAAGUAUCACUGAACAUCCUGUGGGAGUUUCAGGUCACAAGACUAAGGUCAAAUGUCAUUAAGGUCAAUGAACUUUGGCCAUGUUGGAGGUAAUUAUUAAAUUGCAGUCAUAACUUUCAAAGUUUAUGGAUGUAGUAUAUGAAUUGUGGACAUAGGGGUAAUCAAGUAUCACUGAGGCUGUUCUCACUACGUUCCUAAAACUAGUUUACUGGAAACUAGUUUAGUGGAAACUAGUUUAACGCGUAGUGAGAACGGUCGAAGCAGUCUUGGAAGCGAUCUUCCAAACCAGUUUGGAAAACCACCUCGCGAUGUAGUUUUCAAGAUCGCUUUGCCUCGUUAAACUGGUUUUAGCGUAAGUAAGGACACGACCGUUCUUCGGUAAGCGAUCUUCGCACAUUUUGAGCGCGCUACUCCAUACGACAGGUGUAGAAUGCCUAUGCUGCGGUUUCGAAUUUCGCGCGAAACAUGUCGCCCCACUGAGAGCGUUUCCAUAGCAACAAGAGCGCUUUACGUGAAGUGAUUUUGAAAACCACUUUCGUGUGAUCAAGUGGGAACGCUAGCAAAGCGAUCUUCCAAAGUGGUUUCCUGAAUCGGUUUCCAGUAAACUAGUUUUAGAAAGCGUAAUAAGAACGGCCUCACUGACAAGUCUUAGGUCACAUGAUCAAGAUCAAAUGUAAUAUAGGGUCAAUGAACGUAGUAGCCUAUUGUAUCAUUAUAUGAAUGGUGUUUUUUGUGAAUAAUUAUUUUAUAGUAGUUCUCAAAUUCAGCACUGCUGCUAUAUGGAAUCGUGUAAUGCAGGUGAGACUGCCAGAGGCGCUCCACUUGUUUAUGUUAUUGAUUUCUAACAAUCACCUUUGCCUCGUAAAAUAUCUAAAGCUGGAUGUGGCAGAACGAGAAGGAACAGGUUUCUCGUCAACUAUCAUGCCACAUAUUCAUCACUUUCCGCCACAUGAAACCAAAGCCCGGUUUGGUUUCAUACUGCAGUUCUGAGCACCAUAGCUGGCUCACCCUGCUUGUUCGCAGGGCCAGAUAGUAACAUACUAUUAACUGUGCUAGCCCCCUAUGGUAAAACGUAGUGUGAAACCGAAGUGACUACAUGUAGGUUUAAAACUGAUAACCUCAAAAUGGGUAUAAGAGUACCCGUUUUCUUUGCCAGCAAUGUUAUCAUGGUUUGGAGGUAAAACUUCCAAACAGUUUUCUGGUUUUCAAGAAUUUACCUAUAGGACCUAAUAUACUAAAGGUUCUUGUGGGUUAAUUGGUUAACAGCUGAUAACUUUGAAAAUGAAAUGAGAGUAGAGAUCAUUGUAAUAAUAGUUUGGAGGUAAAACAGUCCUCUACUCCUACUUCGCACUUCUACAGUGGUUUUAAUCAAAGCCUGUUCAGCAACUGGAUGAGGAUUGGUGUUGCUAUUCGGUCUAUCAGCAUUUCACCCCAGAAAUUUGCCUGUGAGACCUAUGUGCCAACAGGUGACUGGGAUGAAGCUUAGCAUUGAAGUAUAGCAUUCUUUGGGAAUUUACCCGUAAGAGCUAUGAUGCUCCCAAGAUCUUGCAGAUGACCCUUAAAAGAUUUGUGAAUCAUUCGCCAUCUACAAUCAUGUCACAAUUAUCCUUUGAGGGUUAGUGAUUUAUUGUGACUUAUCUUCGCACAUCCCGUUUUAUUUAAUUUCUUCACUUUUUUUUUGUAUUGUAAGCAAAUCUCUGCCUAAUUACCUGGAAAUUUUCUAGGAUAUAUAGAAUCGGUAUAUUUACUUACUACACAAUAAUGAAUGAUACCAAAGUGGUUUAGCAUAGCAAUGCAACCCUUUCUCAGGAGAUUUUAAAAAUAUUGAUAAUUUUGCUGAAUAAAUCAUAAUGCUUUAUAUAUGCUUUUCACACUGCACUUUUUUCCCUUAAACUCAGGAAAUUGGUGGGGCUAAGGGGGGGUCUUAGCCCCACCAAUUUCCCGGGGUUAAGCUUAGCCCACUUCGUUUUCACACUACGUUUUAGCAAAGUGGGCUAGCACGAUAAAUAGUACGGUACUAUCUGGCCCUGCAAAAAAGCAGGGUUAGCCGGCUUAUUGUGGUGCUAGCACCACAAUUGCGGUGCUUAGAGAUGCAGUGUGAAACGAAACAGGGCUAAGCAAAAGUGGGGCUAAGCAUUAGCCAAUCACAGAAGUCGAAAUUGCACGUUAAUCGCGCUCUGUAUGGUAAAAUCAUCAAUAUUUAUGAGCUGUGUGAUUGCCCGGGGUUAAGGCGUUAACCCCGGCUAAGCAAAUAGUACGGGGUUAAGAAUGACAGUGUGAAUCGAAAAAAAGAUAGUAUGGGGUUAAGGAUAGUCUGGGGUUAAGGAUAGUAUGGGGUUAAGGAAAUGCAGUGUGAAAAGCAUAUUAGAGUUCAUACAUGUAGGAAACAAGAACAAGUCUUACUCGGCAGUGUAUGUGCUAAAAAAAUGUCUGCCUCUAUCAAGAUCUGGCUCUCUGGUAGGAUGGACCCCUUGCCCAAUGUCCACUUUAUAGUAAUGCACAUGUUAGGGUCUUGUGCACAUACCUGUGCAGACCCACAAUCCCAUGAUUUAGAAAACGCAGCAGAUAAGCUGACAUUCCCAAGAGAACUGCUGUACAACAACCCUCUGAGUAACUGUACUUUGGUGCCUAUGCACAUCAAGUCAGAUCAGUCAGCAUUCCAUUGGACAACGUGACUACAGCAGCAGUGGAAGCAGCAGAGAUAGAGACCGUGAACGAGGGAGGGAUCGUGCCCAGCAAGAAAGAGAACCAGAAAGGGAACAUCGAGAGAGGGAAUGGGAACGAGAGAGGAAACGUCGUGAAUGUGAAAGGGUGAAGGAAAGGGAGAAGUCUCCAGUGAAGCGAUCCAGGUCUCCACAUCAUUCCAAGUCACCGAGAAGAUCACCAAGGCCAGGAGAGUAGUACAACGAUACUGUGUUCAGAUCCCACGCUUUGCUCUGGAUAUAUUUGACAAUAAGGACCAACUUGACAGAACCUGUUCAGGGAGGAAUUAAUCGCUGUUUCAAGUAACAAUGAGG